UUUUAUCUUUCUUACUUUCAAAACUUACUUUAUAGUGGGAGAUAUUGAGGUUGAUUGAUCGUCUUUCUUUGACUAAAAUGUCAAAUAGAAUUAACCUGAAUUUUAGAUUGUAAUCCAAAAUCUCAGAAAAACAAAAAGGAAAUGAAAAAGUGAGAGUCAAACCCCUACACAUAUAUGGUUUAGAUCCCCAAGAAAAUGCAACAGCGUCACACACCUAGGAUUUCAAUUUAUGACCUAAGAUAAAACCUUUAACCCCAUUUACCACAACAUUAUUUGUAAGAAAACUAAGAUCCAGGAACGAACUAACUUUUAUAGUGUAAUCAUUGUUCUUCUGGAGUUUAAGUCUCUCACUUUGAAAAAUGUUGGAGGAAUAGUGACAAAAUUCCUCCAAGAUUUUACAAAGCCAAUGAAGUUCGAAUUUUCAACAAUUAACUCAAUUUUUUUCCACAAGAACAAAACUAUUUGAUGUAAGGAGAACCAACACAAGAAGAAAUGAAUGAGAUUUAAUUGAGCCCUCGAGAUUUUCAAAUGGGAAUUUAAUUGAGGCCCCUUGAUUGAACUUUCUACAACUACUCACAUCUUUAGAGAGAGAAAAACUUAUAUGUGCACUUUGUUUUUAAACAAGAAAACUGAAGUUGUGAAAUGUAGACACACACACAUAUAUAAGGGGGUAACAUGUCAAGUUUAAGUGUGUGGUUAAGAAUUCAAAAAAAGUUGACGGGCAUUCAUAUAUGCAUCAUCUCAUCCUUUAGCUUAUUUAUAUGCAUAGUUAUAGUGUAAAAAGACUUCCAAAGCAUGCUUGCAUAUUUAUUUUAUUUUCAAGUUAUUAAUCCUACUCUUUUUAUAAACAGUUACUUUUAACGCGAUUAAUAUAUAAAAAUUAAAUUUUUACACUAAUAUAUCUUUAUGCAUAGGUAACUCGUUUUAGUUGUGGUGGAUUUGUUGUUGGAUUCAGAGUUAACCACACUGUGAUGGAUGCUUAUGGAUUCAAAAUGUUUCUAAAUGCAUUAAGUGAAUUAAUUCAAGGAGCUUCUGCACCUUCCAUACUACCUGUAUGGCAAAGGGAUCUUCUAAGUGCAAGAUCAUCCCCAUGCAUUACAUGUACUCACCAUGAGUUUGAUGAGAUAACUGAAUCAAGAACUGCAUGGGAAUCUAUGGAAGACAAGUUGAUACAACGAUCAUUUUUCUUUGGAAAUAAGGAGAUGAAAGCUAUUAAAAAUCAUGUUUCUUCAAAUUGUAAAAGUACAAAAUAUGAGUUGUUAGUGGCAUUUUUAUGGAAAUGUCGUACGAUUGCUCUCAAAUUGCACCCUCAAGAAAUUGUUCGUCUGACAUAUUUUGUUAGCAUACGUGGAAAAUCAGUUAAAUAUGAAUUGCCACCUGGAUAUUAUGGAAAUGCAUUCAUCACUCCAGCUGCAGUAUCAAAAGCAAGAUUGUUAUGUUCAAAUCCACUGUCAUAUGCAGUUGAACUAGUCAAGAAACUUAAAGAUCAUUUGACUGAAGAAUACAUUAAAUCAGUGAUAGACCUCAUGAUUAUUAAAGGGAGACCAGAGUUGUCAAAGUCUUGGAAUUUUAUUGUUUCAGAUAAUAGAUCUGUUGGAUUUGAUGAAUAUGAUUUUGGAUGGGGAAAGCCCAUCUUUGGAGGGGCUUCAGCUUCUUUCAUUAGUAUUGGUAUUCCUUUUAAUAAUGAAGAGGGAGAAAAGGGUAUUUUAGUAGCUAUAAGUUUGCCUCCAAUGGCCAUGAAAAAUUUUCAAAAGGUUGUAUUCGAGAUGACUUUAAAUAAUGUUGAAGAAGUUGACAUAAUUUCACGGAUGUAAGAGUUUUGUUUUUGUCUUUCUACCCCAUCAAUACAUGUUUUGGGAGUGAUUAAAUCAAAAUUAUGAAGCUUAAUAUUUCAUCCAUAUCCUGUUAGAAACUACUUGUCCAUCAUGUAUGAUACUGCAAAUCAAAUAUCAUUUUAUUUUAUCUUUAUGUAACAAUAUUUAAUUGGAGACGGAAUUAAAGAGAAAAAAA
rnacentral:lncRNA from 1 species